AACGGAAAGGCUCCAGCUUGCUGGAGUACUCGAGUGGCGAACGGGUGAGUAACACGUGGGUAAUCUGCCCUGCACUCUGGGAUAAGCCUGGGAAACUGGGUCUAAUACUGGAUAUGACCUUUCUCCUUAUGGGGUUUGGUGGAAAGUUUUUCGGUGUAGGAUGAGCCCGCGGCCUAUCAGCUUGUUGGUGGGGUGAUGGCCUACCAAGGCGACGACGGGUAGCCGGCCUGAGAGGGUGAUCGGCCACAUUGGGACUGARAUACGGCCCAGACUCCUACGGGAGGCAGCAGUGGGGAAUAUUGCACAAUGGGCGGAAGCCUGAUGCAGCGACGCCGCGUGAGGGAUGACGGCCUUCGGGUUGUAAACCUCUUUCAGCAGGGACGAAGCGUAAGUGACGGUACCUGCAGAAGAAGCACCGGCUAACUACGUGCCAGCAGCCGCGGUAAUACGUAGGGUGCGAGCGUUGUCCGGAAUUACUGGRCRUAAAGAGCUCGUARGCGGUUUGWCACGUCGUCUGUGAAAUCCUAGGGCUUAACCCUGGACGUGCAGGCGAUACGGGCUGACUUGAGUACUACAGGGGAGACUGGAAUUUCUGGWGU
rnacentral:rRNA from 1 species